rnacentral:antisense_RNA from 1 species
UUUAACCUGGUGAUGACAUCGCUAGGUUAAAAGGACAGGGGCGAAUAGAAGGAUUAUUUUUUUGAAUUG